rnacentral:rRNA from 1 species
AUGGACCAACCAACCAACAUGAUAUCACUGUUGAGUUUCUUCUUGUCAUGCGUAGGAACACAAUCUGAAAAUUCUAGACCAAAUGAUGUUCACGACCGCACAACCAACAAGGAGAUGGUCAACGUUUUCAAAAGAAUUGUAGCAAAAAUGAGAGGAUCAUUAUGCGGAAGCCCACACUUAGCAUGGCGAUCCACUGUCCAAAUCCCUCUUGUGGGUAGCCAACCAAAUGAAGAAUUUGCAUCUCAGAGGGCCCCAAGAUUUCCAAAUUGCAAUGGCCAAGGUUCAUUGAGGAAGCCCCACAAAGUUUAUCAUGCAAGCUGA